rnacentral:rRNA from 1 species
UACGUGGGGUGCAAGCGUUAAUCGGAAUUACUGGGCGUAAAGCGUGCGCAGGCGGUUAUGCAAGACAGAGGUGAAAUCCCCGGGCUCAACCUGGGAACUGCCUUUGUGACUGCAUGGCUAGAGUACGGUAGAGGGGGAUGGAAUUCCGCGUGUAGCAGUGAAAUGCCUAGAUAUGCGGAGGAACACCGAUGGCGAAGGCAAUCCCCUGGACCUGUACUGACGCUCAUGCACGAAUACGUGGGGAGCAAA